AUUUCUACGAAAUCACGCGCGUAUAUAACAGUAGAUUUUUUUAAGCUUUCUUUAUCUUGUCCCUAUAGGUGUUAAUUUCUACGAAAUCACGCGCGUAUAUAACAUUAGAUUUUUUUAAGCUUUCUUUAUCUUGUCCCUAUAGGUGUUAAUUUCUACGAAAUCACGCGCGUAUAUAACAUUAGAUUUUUUUAAGCUUUCUUUAUCUUGUCCCUAUAGGUGUUAAUUUCUACGAAAUCACGCGCGUAUAUAACAUUAGAUUUUUUUAAGCUUUCUUUAUCUUGUCCCUAUAGGUGUUAAUUUCUACGAAAUCACGCGCGUAUAUAACAUUAGAUUUUUUUAUCAACUGUCCUAUAGGUGUUAAUUUCUACGAGGAAAUCACGCGCGUGUAUAUAACAUUAGAUUUUUUAAACUUUUCUUUAUCAUCCCUAUAGGUGUUAAUUUCUACGAAAUCACGCGCUGUAUAUAACGUCCCCGAUUUUUUAAAGCUUUCUUUUGUAUCUUGUCCCUAUAGAUUAUUGUUAAUUUCUACGAAAUCACGCGCGUAUAUAACGUGGAAUUUUUAAGCUUUCUUUAUCUUGUCCCUAUAGGUGUUAAUUUCUACGAAAUCACGCGCGUAUAUAAUAUUAGAUUUUUUUAUGCUUUCUUUAUCUUGUCCCUAUAGGUGUUAAUUUCUACGAAAUCACGCGCGUAUAUAACAUUAGAUUUUUUUAAGCUUUCUUUAUCUUGUCCCUAUAGGUGUUAAUUUCUUCUAAAUCACGCGCGUAUAUAACAUUAGAUUUUUUUAAGCUUUCUUUAUCUUGUCCCUAUAGGUGUUAAUUUCUACGAAAUCACGCGCGUAUAUAACAUUAGAUUUUUUUAAGCUUUCUUUAUCUUGUCCCUAUAGGUGUUAAUUUCUACCAAAUCACGCGCGUAUAUAACAUUAGAUUUUUUUAAGCUUUCUUUAUCUUGUCCCUAUAGGUGUUAAUUUCUACGAAAUCACGCGCGUAUAUAACAUUAGAUUUUUUUAAGCUUUCUUUAUCUUGUCCCUAUAGGUUAUUGUAGCUUAAAUAAAGCACAGCACUGAAGAUGCUGAGAUGGGCCCUAAAAAGCCCCAACAACACAAAGGUCUGGUCCUAGCCUUACUAUCAGCUUUUACUAAAAUUACACAUGCAAGUAUCCGCACCCCUGUGAAAAUGCCCCAAUUCUCCUAAUUAGAGAUGAAGGAGCUGGUAUCAGGCCCAUAAGCCCAAGACACCUAGCUUUGCCACACCCCCAAGGGAACUCAGCAGUGAUAAACAUUAAAAAUUAGCGUUAAGCUAGAUUUAGUUAUAGUAAAAAAAGUCGGUUAAUUUCGUGCCAGCCACCGCGGUUAUACGGGAGACUUAAACUGAUAAUUUUCGGCGUAAAGCGUGAUUAAUAGGUAACCUCAUUAAGGUGAAAUUAAGGCCUAGCCGUUAUACGCUUCCGCCUUAAAGAAAACCAACUACGAAAGUGACCUUAACCCUUUUGAACUCACGACAGCUGGGUCACAAACUGGGAUUAGAUACCCCACUAUGCCCAGCCUUAAACUUUGAUAACUUACAAUUCUCUCCGCCAGGGAACUACGAGCGCUAGCUUAAAACCCAAAAGACUUGGCGGUGCCCUACACCCACCUAGAGGAGCCUGUUCUAUAAUCGAUACCCCCCGCUUUACCUCACCAAUUUUUGCCAAAUCCGCCUGUAUACCGCCGUCGCCAACUUACCCUUUGAAGGUCAAAAAGUAAGUAUAAUGGUCUCUCACCAGAACGUCAGGUCAAGGUGCAGCGAAUGAAUUGGAUAGAAAUGGGCUACAUUUUCAAA
rnacentral:lncRNA from 1 species